UUCCGGUUGAUCCUGCCGGAGGCGACCGCUUUGGGAGUUCGAUUAAGCCAUGCGAGUCGUGAGUCUUAGGGACUCGGCUUACUGCUCAGUAACACGUGGAUAACCUGCCCUAUCGUCUGGAAUAACCUCGGGAAACUGAGAAUAAGGCCGGAUAGUUCACAAUGCCUGGAACGGUUUGUGAAUCAAGGUAGGAUGGGUCUGCGGCGUAUCAGGUUGUAGGGGGUGUAAAGGACCCCCUAGCCUUCGACGCGUACGGGUGUUGGGAGACAUAGCCCGGAGAUGGAUUCUGAGACACGAAUCCAGACCYUACGGGGUGCAGCAGGCGCGAAAACUUCACACUGCAGGAAACUGUGAUGAGGGAACUCCUAGUGCAUGCACUAUGUGUAUGUAGAUCCUACUCUUAACAAGUAGAGGGAAAGGGCUGGGAAAGACCGGUGCCAGCCGCCGCGGUAAUACCGGCAGCUCAAGUGGUCGUCGCCUCUAUUGGGCCUAAAACGUCCGUAGCCUGUUUGGUAAAUCUGUGGGUAAAUCAAUCCGCUCAACGGAUUGAAUUCUGCAGAGACUGCCAGACUAGGGACCGGGAGAGGUGUGGGGUACUCGAGGGGUAGGGGUAAAAUCCUGUCAUCCUUCGAGGACCACCAGUUGCGAAGGCGCCACACUGGAACGGAUCCGACGGUCAGGGACGAAGCCUASGGGCACGAACCGGAUUAGAUACCCGGGUAGUCCUAGGUGUAAACGCUGUGAACUUGGUGUCGGGGGUCCGCAAGGGGUCCCCGGUGCCAGAGUGAAGAUGUUAAGUUCACUGCCUGGGGAGUACGGUCGCAAGGCUGAAACUUAAAGGAAUUGGCGGGGCAGCAC
rnacentral:rRNA from 1 species